rnacentral:misc_RNA from 1 species
AUGAAGAACGCAGUGAAAUGCGAUACUUGGUGUGAAUUGCAGAAUCCCGUGAACCAUCGAGUCUUUGAACGCAAGUUGCGCCCGAAGCCAUCAGGUUGAGGGCACGUCUGCCUGGGCGUCACAUAUCGUUGCCCAAUGCCUAUUGCAGUGCAAUAGGAAUUUCUAGGGCGAAUGAUGGCUUCCCGUGAGCGUUGUUGCCUCGCGGUUGGUUGAAAAUCGAGUCCUUGGUAGGGUGUGCCAUGGUAGAUGGUGGUCGAGUUAGAACGAUACCGAUCAUGUGCAUGCUCCCCAAAAUAUGGCCUCUAUGACCCACACGCGUCUUUUGACGCUCAUGACGAGACCUCAGGUCAGGCGGGGCUACCCGCUGAAUUUAAGCAUAUCAAUAAGCGGAGGA